rnacentral:lncRNA from 1 species
CCUGCCCCCGCGCCGCCCGCUCGUCCGCCUGUCUCAGCAAGGCCAUCGGUCCGUCCGCCCGCCCGCCCUCCCGGCGAUCCUCCGCCCCGGUCCCGCUAGCCUGGACGCGCGCGUCGCUUCCUCCGUUCCGGUCGCCGCAAGCCGGCUCCCCGCCCCCGGGCCGGCCGCCACCUCUACGCUAGGCCGGGGAUUGGCAGCGCGCGUAGGCCGCGCCGCCGCUGAUGGAGCUGGAAUAAAGGGGCGGCAGAGAGAGCAGCUGGUCGCCGCUUGCCCCGCGCCUGGCUCCGCGGGCGGCCUGGAGCAGAACAGUUAGAAGUCAGGCUGGCCUAUGAAGACAUACUUUACCCUUCCUCCUCUCAGGAGAAAACUUACAAACUUUUCAACUUCAGAGGCCGAUGAGCUGGAAACCUGAAAGUGGGUUGCCUGUGACUCUAAAAAUUCCUCCCGCUCUCUGGCAUUAUCAUAUGCUGCCACAAAGUGAACUGCUCACUGUGGAAGGCAGAGUUUCCCUGGCAGUGUUGGGACCCUGUCUUGAAGCACCCCCUGCCCUGUAGAUGCAGCCUUGUAUUCUGUCUCCUCACUUGAUGACUAGGGCCGUCUGACCAGUCCUCCUCCGUGCCUUGUCUGAGGUCCUUGUCCAUCCUUGAGAUUGGGCAACUUCUCUCUCUGAGUUGGGUCACCUUAAGCGGGAAACUGAAGCCAUUAAUCUCCAAAC